GCUUUGGUUUCAAAGAACUAGAAACUGAACACGGGAAACCACAAAAAGCAACACAAAAUGUUCUAUCGUUAUGUACGAAUCAGAUCGUGAAAGCUAUGUAUCUGGGUCAUUACUUUCUAGCCACCAUAGAGAGUAAUCAUCUGUCAUGAUCAUUAUAGGAAACAGUCAUGGGAAAACCCUUUUUAUAUUUUAUUUUCCAUAAUAUCACUGGUCCUGGUCGAAGUGGCCAUUUCUACAGGAAUUUGGAUGACACAAAUCUGAAUUGGAGUCAGGAGGGGGGGCAGGUGGAGGAGAAGUCCUGGCAAGUGAAAGGAACAGCCCUCGAGGACAGAGGGAAACAGAAAGGGACACUGCAUGUGGGGAUGGGGAGGCUGGGAGCAAGCAGGUGGAAAAAACCUGCUAUCUAGGAAAUGGCAUAAACUCUGGAUGUGGGUAGGAAGACAGACUGGGUGGUGGGGGUGGUACAGGGAGGAAGUGGUUCUGAAGACACAGGGAGGAACCAAAGAACCCUAGAAAUAUUUCUGAGUUGUGAAAUGGCAUAAAUAAAGCUGAUUUUAUGCAAAGCUAUUCUGGAAGCAGACUUCAAGAUGGAGUGGUAGAAGGCAGCCUGAAGUUAUUCCCACUGUUCCCUAUUGCCACUGUCCUAAAUACUUCAUUAUCUUUGAACAAGAACAACAAGCCAACCUUCCUCCUCUCUAUUACACCUCCUUGGUAGAACCAAAGGAAAAAUCCAAUCACUCUGGGAAACUUAACCAAAACAAUUUUUAAUUUGUUUUUUAUUUUUUUAAUGUUUUUGAGAAAGAGAGACAGAGUGAGAGUGGGGGAGGGGCAGAGAGAGGGAGACACAGAAUCUGAAGCAGGUUCCAGGCUCUGAGCUGUCAGCACAGAGCCUGAUGCGGGGCUCAAACUCAUGAACCAUGAGAUCAUGACCUGAGCUGAAGUCAGACGCUUAACUGACUGAGCCACCCAGGUGUCCCAACAAUUGUAUUUCCCCACAAAGAAAGCAAGCCAUCAUCACAGGAAACAUCCUUUUUCUCACUGGAGACUCAACUCUCAAUUAAUAGGGAAGAGUCUCGUGUGAAUAAGAAUUAGGAUUAGUGAUGUCAGCAUCCCGAUGCAAUAACAAAAAUAAUUAUCACUUAAAUAAUGUUGUCUACAGAAAAUCAUUUUCACACAUUCUCAGUCCUUCUUCUCAUAGGCCUUCUCUUCCUUUCGUCUCCCAUCAUUCAAAGGCCUUACUUGAGUGUAAUGACCUUGUUGUGAUAUUUCCUCAAAUUCAGAUUUAUCUCAACUGAAUGCCUAUCACAAUAACCGAUUCUGCCAACAGCAAUGGUAGCAUGGGGAAUAGAGAGUGGGUUUUCACAUGGCUGUGUCUUGUAACGAUCUUCUAGAAGCCAUCGAGGGUAGAGUCCACCCUACUUUGGGUAAAAGGGGAGACGCUUAUUUUCAUGUGGGAAAGCCUUAAUCAGAAUUGGCCAAAUGGUAAAAAUUCCACUUGACAGUUUGCCGGUUGAGAAGGUCUAAGCUUCAUUCAGGUACAUCUGAUGUUUGUCUCCAAUUGCUUAAAACUAUGAUUAUUUGACAUACACAGGAUGACCCAAGUUUAAAGUGACCUAAAGCUGUAGCAAACUGACUCACCCAAUAAAGUUCAAAUAAACAUUUCCUGCCUCUGACUAGAGCUUCACUUUGCUCACAGAACAACUUCAAGUUACUGCCAACCUGCACCACGCACUUUCAACUGUGUGAAAGCCAGGGGCAAGAGGAAGGGUGUGCGUUCAAUACAUCAGAGAACACUUUCCUUUUACAGCGGUCAUCAACAUCUUAUAAGAAAGAAGCUUCUAUGACAUGACACAACAGUACGUAUGGAACAGCUCCCAAAUAGGCUACAUGUCCACAAUGUUGACUGCUGGAGUGUCUUCCUGCCAUGAACAAGGGCAGUGUCUGAAGUUAAGUGGGAAUAAUGGCAUGUCGUUAAUUCCCCUCCCCAUUUUAAUGUUAUUUUGAGAGAGAGAGAGAGAGAGAGAGAGAGAGAAGGAGGGAGGGAGAGACAGAGGGAGAGAUAGCACAAGCAGGGGCGGGAUAGAGAGAGAGAGGAGGCAGAAUCCCAAGCAGGCUCCAUGCUGCCAGAGCAGAGUGCGAUGCAGGGCUUGGACUCACGAACCAGUAGAUCAUAACCUGAGUCGAAACCAAGAGUUGGACGCUUAACUGACUGAGCCAACCAGGUGCCCCAGUUCCCAUUUUGAAAAUGAUAGAAUCAAGAGGGUUUCAAUGGGGAACAGUGAAAAGGAUAGCAGUGUGGCUUUGCUGAGUCUCUUCCACUUCACCACAUCAUCAGAGCGUCAAUGUCUUGUACCUCAGUGGCACCUCACAAAACCCAAGGUCCUUCUUCCUGGUUUCCCCCAUUGGCUGUUUUGUUCAUCAAGUGCCACUCCUGGGGUGUAGCAUCUGAUGACUGUCCUCUCUCUUUGGCUGUUGACCUGGACUCCAGGAAAGCACCAAGGUAUCAGGAACCUUGCCCCUCACUCGUUUGCUCAACUUAGUGGCCCAGUCACCCAGCAGAGGUUUUAGGCUCUGUGCUAUGCCUACUGCCCACCCAGAAUCUGGUCUUCCCAUUCUGGGCAAGAUGGUGGCAUAGGCCAAAUCUGUCUUUGAUGAUACCAAGAGAUCAUUUAAAGAGGAAGAAGACACUGCCUGUUCAUUAGAGCCCAUUGUCACCAGUUGUUGGCUGUUUGAAGCCAAUGUUAAGGACCUCUGGAAUGUUCCUUCUAAGUGUUUUUAAGCAUAGGAAUAAAAGUAUUCUUGUUCUAACUCCAUUUUCCCAACCCAGCCGAGGUCCACAUCAUAGUCUUGUUCUUUACCAAUGUUCUUCCCAUGAGCUCAGGCUGUUCCUCCCAAUCCAGUGUGUGACUGUAUCCAACUCUGCUUGUUUCUCACGCAUAAGCCUUCCUGUGUCUUUGUUAGGUCAUAAGCACCAAUAGGUGGGGCUCAGGACAUCCCUGUCUUGUGUAACCCCAUCUUGUCUAGGCUUGGUGCAUGUGCAGCUGAGUAAAGAACUAGCUGAGAUGCUCAGUUUUGAUGCUAGAGAUGGACCCCACACAGGACUGAAACAGCUCAUUUAGCUGCUGCUCUGAUUCCAGAAACUAAGCCGUCACCUUAUCGUUUCCUGGGCCCGACACAAAAAGCAGCACCUAUAGAGGUAAUAUUGAGGUCUGAUUUCCAGGGAGCUCAUGCACCUACUACCACUGCAAAUAAAGCCUGUGGUCCUGGGUUAGAUUAUGCAAAGUUCUUGUGCCAGCUUUAAAGAUAAGCAAAUACCAGGUAGGUGACUCUGAAUGGAGAACGUACAUCAAUAUUUCCCUUCAAUUGUGGGAAGAAUACAGAACCUGCUUAGAUGGAGAUAUUCAGGUUGAUCCGCACCAAACGUGAAGAAAAGAAAAGCUGCCCCCCCACGUCUCCCGGCUCUGGGUAGCAGACAGAGCUGAUCAUCUGUAACAAGAUCCUAGAAUGUAAAUUCCUGAACCAAAGGUUUCCAGCUUCUUCCAUUCUAGCACUCUGACGGACAGAGUGUGUUCUCAUGAAAACCAUGGCUUUCCACAACAGGAGGCGUCUCCUGGAGUGAUCAGAGCCCCGUCCCCUGCAUCUGGCUGCGUCUCUGCUGCGCUUAACACCAUGCUGGGCUCGUCCAAGCCAUUCCAGUAAUGCUGUACGAAAGCACUUACUGUGUAGCUGAUACUGCGUUGUGUCGUGUAUUUUGCAACUGUAGGGCCAUACGAAAUCAAAUCAAGGGCCUGAAGUUCCCACCCGGGGCUAGAGA